AACGAACGCUGGCGGCAGGCCUAACACAUGCAAGUCGAGCGCCCCGCAAGGGGAGCGGCGCACGGGAGAGUAACGCGUGGGAACCUUCCUUUGGUUCAGGACAACACCGGGAAACUGGUGCUAAUACUGGAUAAGUCCGUAAGGAGAAAGAUUUAUCGCCAAAAGAUGGGCCCGCGUUGGAUUAGCUAGUUGGUAGGGUAACGGCCUACCAAGGCAACGAUCCAUAGCUGGUCUGAGAGGAUGAUCAGCCUCCCUGGGACUGAGACACGGCCCAGACUCCUACGGGAGGCAGCAGUGGGGAAUAUUGGACAAUGGGGGCAACCUUGAUCCAGCCAUGCCGCGUGAGUGCUAAUGCCUUCGGGUUGUAAAACUCUUUUACCUACGACGAUGAUGACGGUAGUAGGAGAAUAAGCCCCGGCAAACUUCGUGCCAGCAGCCGCAGUAA
rnacentral:rRNA from 1 species